rnacentral:misc_RNA from 1 species
UAAUCCGAGAAUUUCACCUCUGACAGUUAAAUACGAAUGCCCCCAACUAUCCCUAUCAAUCAUUACCUCAGCUCUAGAAACCAACAAAAUAGAACCGAGGUCCUAUUGUAUUAUUCCAUGCUAGUGUAUUCAAGGCGUGUGCCUGCUUGAAACACUCUAAUUUCCUCAAAGUAAAAGUCCAGGAUACCGCACCACACAGUCAAGUGCAGCUACGUUCUCCAAGAAGAUGCCCAGGCCGAGCCAGAUACUCACCCAGAGGGCGGACCGGUCGUCCUUGGCAGAAAUCCAACUACGAGCUUUUUAACCGCAACAACUUUAAUAUACGCUAUUGGAGCUGGAAUUACCGCU